AUGAUUCAGCAAGAGACAGAGGAAAGAAGUGAAACUCCAAUGGUCCCACCCAGACCAACUGAAGAGGAGAUGAAGAGGACGUCCACAUACAACAAAGUAAAAGCAAAAGGAACUGAGGAUAAUCAGGAUAACCAGGCUAUGAUCUCCAGAUCUGCUAGAGCAUCAGAGGAGGAGCUGAGCAGUACAGCGGGACAAAAGCAGAAGAGCAACCAUCAGAGCCAAUCAGAUGGCGAAGGCCUCAAAAAAGAUGAAUCUGCAGAAGCCGAAGAGGAAGAAGAGGUGAACCCCCCAGAAAGCAAAACAGUAAGUUAAUCCCA
rnacentral:lncRNA from 1 species